GAGUAAUGCAGGACAAGUGGUCCCCACCGA
rnacentral:piRNA from 1 species